AUGAAAUGUGCUUUGAUCUAAAAAAUAUUUCUUCUAACAUCAUAGCUUACAGUUUUAUAUUAACCAUCUCCCAAUAUUUUAAAUAACAAUUUAAUAAAUUCUUCUAUCUUUAAUUUUGUUAAUAAGUGUUGGAUUUGUCAUGGAUCGAAUAGAAAAGAAUUAUGUGUACAAGAAAAAGUAAGAUGGUUUAUUACGACUAAAGUAAUGCUUUACAUAAGUAUAGAAAGAAAAAAAACGUGAUAACUCGUUAGACGCACAAAAAUCAGAAUCACGCAGCGGAAAUCCGUAAAACAAAAGCAUAAUACAAUAGUAUUAUUGUAUUAUGGGACAAAUUGUAUUGGAACAAAUUCAAAAGCUAAUUAACACGAAUAAUGAAACGUGGAAGAUACAAAUAAAAAGUGUAUUAAGGUUUAACGACUUAUGGAAAUACGUUAGCGGACAGUUAGUGAAGCCCGAAAAUGACGAGGGCGAAUGGCAAAAUAAAGAUGAAAAAUCCAUUGAUUUAAUAACACUAAGCAUAAGCCGAAUCAGUUUGAUUACAUCAUAAACGUCACUAUCUCGAUCGAAGUAUAGAACUCAUUGAAAGAACUAUUUAGAAAGUCACAGAACGAAACUAUGUCGGAAUUCCUAAACGAAUUUGUAAAAAUUGGACUACAAUUGGAAGAGUGUGACCUGAAGUUACCGGAAAAUCUACUAACGAUUUGGUUGCUGAAUGCGCUACUCGGUGAGUACAAAAAUUUCUGCGUAGCUAUUAAAUCCAGGGAAAAAAUGCCAAGCCUGGAAGAAUUAAAAACGAAGCUUCUUGAGGAAGAAGCUAGAAGAUGUCCGUAUGACAGAGAGGAAGGACCAAGCAAAACGGAAGGCGCUUCUCUCAAAGAAAAAUGAUGCGCUGAAGUUAGAAAAACCAGAACAGAAAAAUACACAUACAGAGCAAGGUAAGAGCUAUAAAUGUUAUAUAUGUAAUAAAAUUGGUCAUAUAUCAAAAUACUGUAAAUCAAAGCGUAAUCAAUAUAAUGAUCCUCAAAAUUAAGACAAUAAAACUAUAUAAUAAAGA